UUUCGAUAUAUAGCUCUUAUAACUAUCAUAAAGCACACAAAUAUAAUCCGUCCUCAUGUUCGCCUCUAAUCAACCAUGUGUGUUCAGAAUAUUUGGGCCCAGAACAUUUAUCCUCAAUAAUGGUGCUGCCCUCAACGGACUUCACCUUCAUUCAAGUCGCUUGUAUCAUCUCGAACGGCUCAUCUUUGGAAAUGUCUGGAUACCCUGAGAUGGAAAUGGACGCUACCCUAAUGCUAUUGUCUGGGUGUCGCCAGAGCUUUUCUAGAAGACAAUGGUGGAAGUAUUAAUCUGGGGAAAGAAGGCAAGUUAGCCCAUUCUAAUAGUGGAACCAUAUCACCUGAGUUUGCAGGCAACGCUUGGUCAAUUACAUCGAUUACACCUGUGAAUGGCCAAUCAUUCCAGCCUGCUACAGCUGCUGCUGCUGCUGUCAUUGGGCACAAAUCAAUCCCAGCCAUUUCAAGGACUAAUUAUCCUUAUUUAAGAACCAUGAACUGACAUAGAUCGGGACAACAUCGGCCAGUUCCCCGGUUUCACUUCUUCCUCGGCUUCCGGUGCGGCGUCCGUCAACUACGCCGUUCGUUCUUCUGAAAGUUACGAUCGAUAAAUAAGUUCGAUGCCAAUACGGAGAUAAGUGCAAUCACCUAAAUUUGGAUCCAAUCGUGAGAAUGGCCUAACACAUGUCAUACCCCAAUCCUUUCUCAGCUAAAGGCUACAUUACACAAGAUUAUAGACCUUUUAGCCCUAUGAUAGCGCGUGAGACGUGCUACGAUCGUAACCCUCCAGCUCCUUCCUUAGUAGUACUCCAAUUCGUUGGACCAAUCGACCCAAGUAAUUAUUGCACAGUGGGCUGUCAAGCAUCUGUCAAAAGAUUGAUAUACGAGUCCUCAUCAGGCACACCGUCCACCAUACAUAACCCCCCAAUGUUGAGAGGUGAAGAAGAAAAUGAACGAAUCCAGUAGCUUUCUUCUGGAUGUUGCCGGCGUAACCUUCUGCAUCAGAUGCGCUUCCAUACAGUCCUGCAUCUAUAAUUGGAAGAAUGUCUGGUGAGCAGCUGUAUUAAUUGAAAGAACAAUGGGGUAUCACUCGCAGAUCUUAGUAAAGGUAUACAGGAGUGUCCCUUCGAGUUUCAGUAUGAGCAAAUUUUGCAGUAUCCAUGGUGUGACGACUUGCUGUUGACCAAGCCAAUGGAUGUGGUAAUGCCGUGGCUUGGACCAAGCCUGCAAGUACCCCAGCAAUACUUCACAAUGAUUAUUUCCUCCGCUGGUCACGAACAUAGCAAUUCAUAUCUUCUAUUCAUUUACAAACUCUAGAGCGUAUUUGACAUCUUUACUUCUCUAACGUCUUUCGAAAACAGUCCUCAAAACAAUGAUAAAAAGCGCACCCUUCAAUCAAUUAUAGGAUGGGUACCUUACGCCACAUCUCCAGCAGCGUCCAGGUUCAGGAUCAUCGCUUGGUAGAAUCUCGCAAACUCGAUAAGAUCAUCAGCGUUUGAGUAUUCGUUGAUGGUAUGCGCUCCCCCAGAACCCGCCAUGGGAGUGUAUCGGAAUCGAUAGAUGUUGGGGGUGAGGUCCCAAUAACGCCUUGUACAUAGGGUGAUUGGAGGUUCUUACACCAGUGCUCAUAAACGGAGCCAUGAUCAAAUCAUCCCCCGCUUCAAGCUCUACAAUCUUUCCAUCCUCACUGACCUCCUUUCUACUCGCCCACAUGCCUCUUGCCGUCCCUGCCAUCACCCUCCAAGCCGGGUCUUCGAUGCUCACAGGGCUAUGAGGGGAGGGAUCGGUGUAAUAGCCAAAUGCUUCGUCGAGAAUGACUUUAGAAGUGGGAGAACCGUCAAAGACGGUCUCGCCGUCAAAGCCGAUGAGGGUGAGGUUAUAGUCUUCACACACAGGUUUGAGGAGGUUCAAGGUUCGGUCUUGGAGUUCGAAGUGGUUGGAAAGGCUGUUGACUCGGUGGUUGACGAUGGCAGUCACAGCCUCGGGCUAACAUAGGUUAAGCAGACGGGGAUAAAUAUUUGGGGAGGAUAGUGCGAUACUUACCAAAGCGUUUACUUUCAACCCACCGUGGAUUAUAUCCACAGCUUGGGUAGUAGUCAACAUACUCUUGAUGGGAUCACCCUGACCAGGCCCGGCAGGCGCUCCACCCAUCCCGACACUGAUGAUCUCUUCAGGCAAGCUCUUCCAAGCCUUCAAAUCCCCAUCCUCGGCCUUGAUAACCAUACCCUUCAACUUUUUUGGCAUGUCCUUGGCAUAGGCAGCUGCGCAAGUCAUAAACUCGUAAACAGGGGAAGAUUCGGCAAUGGUAGCUUCGUGAGGAUUGCGCUCGAGCUCAGCAAUAAGCAAGGAGAUGAGACCGAUGGCAGUGUGAGGUGGAGGUACGGAAGAGUGUCCACCCAGUGUGGAGACGGUGAUACCAAGGUCAUAGUGGCCUUUCUCAGCGACAGCGGGGGUAGCGAAUUGCUGGCCCCAGGUGUUGAUCAUACCUGAGCCCUCAUCAAUGAGGCUGUUGAAGAUGAGCUGUUUUCCUGCAUCACUGUAGGAGAAUAACACACAGAGCCAUAGAGUCCUUUCCGUACUUAUCAAGGAGGUAUCGAGCGAUAGCAGGUGCGCCGACUUGGCCACCACGUUCUUCAUCGCUGCCAAAGCCCAGAAUGAUGGUCCUCUUGGGCUUGAAGUCAGUGGUCUUAAGGAGAUGUUCGAUGGCAGACAUCACAGCUGCAUUGACGACGUUAAGCGAGAGCUCACUCAAAGUCGGAUGUGCUUACCAAUCAGACUGCUUUUAGUGUCCGAAGCACCUCGACCGUGAAUGACGGUGCCAUCGUAUUCGCCGCCGUAAGGGUCAUGGGUCCAUUGACCUCUCGUAGAAGCCAAGACGGGGACGACAUCUGCAAUCAAGGGUUUUAGCGGAUUGGGGGGAUCAAUCAUGGAAGACAUACCCUGGUGGGCAGUAAGGAAAAGAGGUUUAAGAGAUGGGUUGGAACCCUGGAUCUCGUAGACCAACGCCCAAUCAGUCUUGGUGACCUCGGCCACCUCGUAACUGUGGAGCGAUAUCAGCACCUAGGCAUGAUGUGUGGCCUUCUCCGUCCUUACAUGAGAGGGAAUGUCUUUUCGAGGACUAAAGCCUGUCAGUGACUGGGGGAUAAGAUUGCGUAAGUCACUAACAGGCAUGGAAUUCAACAAAGAUUUCCCAUCUGGGGUCUUCAUCAACGGGGCCCAUCUCGUCGAAGACCUCGGUAGGGAUUCGAACCUUUGUAGGAGUAUAGACUCCUCUUGAUGAUGAUGUCCUUUCCCUCCCAAAUUUUACUCGUGUUGUAGCCGGCGGGCAUGAUAGGUUCUGCCUGGGCACAGAGUCCGUCGCUCAAAUUUCCACUAUACACAGAGAAAUCCUCUUUGUAGGUGAUAAGCUGGGACACGGAGAAAGGCCAGGAUGUGAUGAUAGCAGAAGCAGCCAGUAGACCGAGGGCAAUGAGCGGCCAACGGCGCUUGGAUAAACCCUCAGCGGGUACAUCGUUUGAGGUGACUGGUAGAUAGAUGGGACCUUUAGCCAUGUUUGAGAGUAUAUACAAUGCUGAAGGAUCUGAAGGGAACUCGAAUGGCGACGUGAAUCUGCUUUAUGAGAUGGUGCAAUUCCA
rnacentral:sRNA from 1 species